UGGGGAAUUUUGGACAAUGGGGGAAACCCUGAUCCAGCCAUGCCGCGUGAGUGAAGAAGGCCUUCGGGUUGUAAAGCUCUUUCAGCCGGAACGAAACGGUCACGGCUAAUACCUGUGAUCACUGACGGUACCGGAAGAAGAAGCACCGGCUAACUACGUGCCAGCAGCCGCGGUAAUACGUAGGGUGCGAGCGUUAAUCGGAAUUACUGGGCGUAAAGCGUGCGCAGGCGGUUUUGUAAGUCAGAUGUGAAAUCCCCGGGCUUAACCUGGGAACUGCGUUUGAAACUACAAGGCUAGAGUGUAGCAGAGGGGGGUGGAAUUCCACGUGUAGCAGUGAAAUGCGUAGAGAUGUGGAGGAACACCGAUGGCGAAGGCAGCCCCCUGGGUUAACACUGACGCUCAGGCACGAAAGCGUGGGGAGCAAACAGG
rnacentral:rRNA from 1 species